GGAAAAGGAGUUUCAGAUUUAGAAGACAUGAAGUGGUGAAUGUUGUGUAUGUCAGUCUGUGCCUGGAGAGCUCUCAGCAUGAUGAAAUGCUACUGCACUGAACUAUGAGGAGCAAACCUUCCCAGAAGAGAAGACUAAAGGGGAAGUUUAUUUCAAGUCUUUGAAAACUUGUUCCCCAUAUCAUCCAACUGAAAGUCUUGCCCAGGGAACUCUACUCCUGGUACCAGACAUGGUUGCUCUUCACUUGCUGGUCAUGUCUGGUUAGGCGGAUUCAACCUUAACCUAGAGUGUCCAUUCUCAACCUGUGGGUUGUGAUCUCAUUGGCAAACCACUACCUGCAAUAACAUAUACAUUAUGAUUCAUGUAAGUAGCAAAAUCACAAUUUUGAAGUAGCAACAAAAAAAAAACUUGGUGGUCGUGGGUCACUACAAUAUGAGGAAGUUUAUUGAAGAGUUGUAGCAUUAGGAAGGUUGAGACCCACUGCUCUAGAGGGGACGGCAGAGCACUCUUUCCUUGUUAAAUAAAACAAACCACUGCUCGACGUUGAACGAUUGGAUACCACUGGCUAUAUAUCUGCUGGAUCUGGAGAACUGCAAUGUGCUCCAUUUUGGAACAACGCUGACACUGUCUACCAUAGCUCUCUGUACUUAGCUUGUUUCCUUCAGAAUGUGGCUUCAGGACAUUGCUUAGUGCAGGCAUUCUGAAUUGUGAUUCAUCCUUGCUCAGUAAAGAUAUUAAAUAAAUAGAAAAUCCGCAGGCCUGUUUUUAUUAUCAUUUCUCUUAGUGAAUUUUAGAUGUAGCUUUUAGGUGGUUUGGUAUUAGAAGAAAGGAAAGAAGACUGCAUAGCAGUGUAAAGCUCUGCAGGCACUUAUAUGUGAUACAGAAUUUCCCGGCCUAUUCCAGAAGAGAAAUGGCUUCACGGAUGCUUCUCACCUUAUUUGUUCAGUGGAACUCACACACUGCCCAAGCCUGUCUAUGGUCCUCCAAGAAGACUCCAGUUCCCUUCUCUUCUCUCAGGCCCCUGGGACAUGCAGUACCCUGAAGCCUGGCCUGGUGUCACAACAGAACCACGGUGAAUGCUUGCCCGUGUCUUCAGUUAUAGGGUGAUUCAUUCAGCCAAUGUCUCCAGUCCUAGUAAACUUUGCUGCGACCUGCUUGGAGGUUUUCAUUCUGACAUAAUUCUGGAAUUAUCUUUUUCUUCAUAAAGACAGUCAUUACUAUCAGAAAAGAAAUCUCUAGCCUCAUUAUUUCAUUGCUAUUAUAAAUUAUGUCUUCUGGAGACAACCUUGCCCCUCAAUCGUUACUCUGUUUAGAAAUCACUUGGGAGUCCUGUUAAAGGAACAUUUCCAAGUUUAGUGGAUGUAGAGGGAGCCUGUGUUCCCAUCAUGUUCUUGGCUCAUGCUCUGUGCUUUCAGCACAAAGGACUAAAAUUUCCGAAUCUAGAUAUCCAGCCUGCAGGGGCAGGAGCGUCUCAUCUUCCUCCGUAAAUCCAGAGUCCUGUAUAGAUCAUGAUUAUGGUUGCAAACCGGAAACAUUGUUCUAAAGAAAAGCCAUUGUGACUUCUCUCAUUUAGGAAGAGUGUAUGCUAGGUGUGUGUCACUGACAGAAUGUGUGGUAUAGACAACCUGAAAUGAACAUUGGUUUCG
rnacentral:lncRNA from 1 species